AGGGGUGCUCUUGAUUUUAUAGAACCACUAAAAUACAUUCCGAAUUUUAUAUGUGAAAUGUAAGAUGAAAAAUAAUUAUUAAAAGAAAUUAAUAUUACUUUUAUGAAAAUUUUUUAGUGCUCCAUAU
rnacentral:rRNA from 1 species